GGGACGUUAGCUCAGUUGGUAGAGCCGUUGACUUUUAAUCAAUUGGUCGCUGGUUCGAAUCCAGCACGACCCACCA
rnacentral:tRNA from 1 species